UGGUAAGAGAUUGUGUGCUGGUCGACCAUUAGUCGGGUAGGCGGUGCACAUAGGGGCUGCACACAGAUGGAGGACGGCAAUGGCGCAGCGAGAGCUUUGACUCACGUCCAUUAGAUAGCGUGAAACUGGUUGUGGCGGAGCGACUAGAACGCGCCGGGAUCGAGGCAUACACGAGCAGAGCAGUGACCACAACUAGCAAUGGGGAGCGGCAUGGUGAUCGACAGGGAACCCCAGCCUAGGCGUUGCGGUUGCAGGGAGCCGGAGAUCAGGGAAGGGGGCGAGCACGAGGAAGGUGUCAUGGGGAAGAGGAAAGCGCGCUGGCGAGCUAGAGAAUCGCGGGGGCCCUGGGCUUGUGCUCGUGCGCGAUCCUGGCGUUGGAGGUGGGAAAGCUCUUCGACGUCUUGCGGGAGACGUUGGCCGGCACGGAGGAAGGGAGCUUGGUGACCGGCCUGGAUCUGAGGGAGCUCGUAGGGGGAGCCGGCUAGAGACCGACGCAGGGAGCGCGGGGAUUCUCUAUGGCGCUGUUGCUCGCCUGCUGGAGGGCGCCGGAGUGGAGAAACUCGCCGCCGGGAGAAGGAAAUAGGGGAGGGCGCUCGGCUUGCAUGGCAGGAGCAGGGAAGGGGAGGCUGGCCAUCGACCUUGGGCGUGGCCAGGGAAGGUGGGGG
rnacentral:lncRNA from 7 species